GGAGGUGUGGCUCUGUGGUAGAGCACGUGCCUAGCGUGUAUGAGGCCUUGGGCUCCACCCCCAGCACCACCA
rnacentral:tRNA from 1 species